rnacentral:rRNA from 1 species
AACGAACGCUGGCGGCAUGCCUAACACAUGCAAGUCGAACGAGACCUUCGGGUCUAGUGGCGCACGGGUGCGUAACGCGUGGGAACCUGCCCUUAGGUUCGGAAUAACUCCCCGAAAGGGGUGCUAAUACCGGAUAAUGUCUUCGGACCAAAGAUUUAUCGCCUUUGGAUGGGCCCGCGUUGGAUUAGCUAGUUGGUAGGGUAAAAGCCUACCAAGGCGACGAUCCAGAGCUGGUCUGAGAGGAGGAUCAGCCACACUGGGACAGGGACAAGGCCCAGACUCCAGCGAGAAGCAGCAAUGAGGAAAAUUGGGCAGUGAGCGAAAGCCAGAACCGGCGAGUCCGCGAGGGUGAUGAAGGGCUUGGAUUCGUAAAGCUCUUUUGCCCGAGAGUGUAAUGACGGAACCGGUAGAAUAAGCUCCGGCUAACACCGU